rnacentral:ribozyme from 1 species
UGCCCAGCAACUCCUAUCCCUACCUCCUCGUGGUACUGGCCGGGGUAGGAGCAACCUUAGGGAAGAUCGGGUAAACAACCCAGGUGGGAACUUUGGUAGUAUGCUGACAGCGAAGG